rnacentral:rRNA from 1 species
GACGAACGCUGGCGGCGUGCCUAACACAUGCAAGUCGAACGAAAUUAAGUUUGACACCGAACACUUAGUUUGGUGGAAAAGCACUGAGUAGUCGGUGUUGAACUUAAUUUAGUGGCGGACGGGUGAGUAACGCGUGAGUAACCUGCCUUUCAGAGGGGGAUAACGUCUGGAAACGGACGAUAAUACCGCAUAACAUAUUUGGGUCACAUGGCUCGAAUAUCAAAGGAGCAAUUCACUGAAAGAUGGACUCGCGUCCGAUUAGCUAGUUGGUGAGAUAAAAGCCCACCAAGGCGACGAUCGGUAGCCGGACUGAGAGGUUGAACGGCCACAUUGGGACUGAGACACGGCCCAGACUCCUACGGGAGGCAGCAGUGGGGAAUAUUGGGCAAUGGGCGCAAGCCUGACCCAGCAACGCCGCGUGAAGGAAGAAGGCUUUCGGGUUGUAAACUUCUUUUGUCGGGGACGAGUAGAAGACGGUACCUGGCGAAUAAGCCACGGCUAACUACGUGCCAGCAGCCG